rnacentral:lncRNA from 1 species
GCCGGGGCCGCUGGCAUUCCUCGGCAGGCCCAGCCCUCCGCAGGCCGGGCCUCAUCCGCCUGAGUGUGUCCCAAGGCACGGAGCCGCCAGCAUCCUGUGUGUCCAGCACCCUGGGUGACUGAGGUUCCCAGCUCAGGCGGCCAUGGUUCUGCCAACUGCCACAUGCUGGCUACUUGCCCUGGUGGCACUCUUGGGAACCAUGAAAAGUCUGUGUUCAGAUCUUGUCACAUUCCGUGGUUCAUGCCCCUAUUUAGAUUCACUUUCCCGGCAAAUGUAAUGACAGUGACAGAAAGCAGCCGAGCUGCCUGCGGCCAGGUGGGGGAGAUGGACAGGAGGAGGCAGAGGGUUCACACAGGCACACACAUUGGUACAGGACUCCUGGAGCUGGACAGUGAAAUGGGUGUCAUCCAUUGUGUGUAAAUUAUACUGCAAUAAGAUGGAUUUCUAAGGAAAAUGUCAAAGAAAUGCAAAAGCAGAGAGAAUAGCAAAGGCUUCCAGGCGCGAGGAUUAUGAAUGUUUCAUCACUUAUUUUGAGGCAGAUCGCAGCCACUCCAUCGUCUCAGAGUAUCAUUAACACACCUAAAAAAGCGUUAUUCUUUAAACUCACGAAAUAUCCACUCAGGCUUCAAAUUUCCCAAUUGUCUCAUUUUGUAAAAUAAAACAUUUGGUUCAUUCAAAUCAGGACCCGCAGAGGUCCGUGCACAGCGCUCCUCUGCUGCCUCCUGUCACUCUGGAAGCCCAAGGGCGUCUGGGAGCCGCUGGGAGACACGGCAGUCCCGAGGGGAGGGUCUGGGACUCAGGCAAACAUUCCAGCCAGACUGAGGCAAAGACGAGCUCUAACUGACAGUGCAGCCUCGAAAAGGGCGAGUUGGAUGGUGCUGGGAGCUUCCAUAGAGCUGUGACCACCUGCUUAAGUUAAUGAAAGUGUGUUUUGUUUGUUUUAGGAAAUAAAAGAAAGGAAAGAAGAAGAGUUGGAGAGAUUCUGGUUCCUCUGGCGUGACCGCUGGGCCCCCUACCCCCAGAGUUCCAGAUCCAGUAGUUCUGGGGCGGGGCCUGGAAUCUGCAUUUCCACUGAACUCACAGCGCACGCUGAUGCCGCUGGUCCCGGGACCUCCUUUUGAGAACCUCAGCUCCAUGGACUUCACAAAUACCCGUGGCCAUAGUUUAGGAAUGGUUCUGUCACCCAGGACAUGAGAACCGCCUUAGUUUCUAAAGAUUAAAGAACCAAAAAUAGUGUCUGGCACACAGGUAGCAGGAAAAA